UCUUCCAUCUCACUCCCACAGUCUCUACUGCUAAUAGAUUUUAGUGGCUGUGCUUGUGGGAUAGAGUAAAAUUGCCAUGAUCGGGAGAGGGAGGAUUUCUUUGUGUCCUUCUCUAACAUGAAAUGGUGAACAUAAAAAC